UACGUAGGGCGCAAGCGUUAUCCGGAAUUAUUGGGCGUAAAGAGCUCGUAGGCGGUUUGUCGCGUCUGCCGUGAAAGUCCGGGGCCCAACUCCGGAUCUGCGGUGGGUACGGGCAGGACUAGAGUGAUGUAGGGGAGACUGGAAUUCCUGGUGUAGCGGUGAAAUGCGCAGAUAUCAGGAGGAACACCGGUGGCGAAGGCGGGUCUCUGGGCCACUACUGACGCUGAGAAGCGAAAGCAUGGGGAGCGAACAGG
rnacentral:rRNA from 1 species